UACACUAACCAAUUUUACCAUUAAAAUUUUAAUAGGCAAAAUACCAUUAUACCCCUAACUAAUUAAACCUAAAACUAUUCUUUUCUUCCCCAAGAUUUCUUCAAAUCUCAGAUCCAAAAUGAACGAUACCAGUAAUCAAAUCCGACGAAUCAGACGAUGUUGACGAGUUCUCCGGCGCUGAGGAGUUCUCCGGCAAAAUUUCUGACUAGUUGUACAGCGAGAUCCGACGAUGCUGAUGAGCUCAAACGAACAAGACGAGUUCUCGGCGAGAUUUACGAACACUGAAGAGUUUCCGACGAGAUCUGACGACGAGUUUUCCGGCGAGAUCUAACGAUAACGAGUUCUCCGAAAAGCUGACAGACUCUACAAGCUUAGACGAACGAGACGAUCUCUUUCCCUACGUCUAAGAAACGCUAACAAAGGGAAUUACAAAGGUGUGCUGUGAGCUUUUGGAUUUAUAGGAUGCUGUGGAGAAUAUGUAUGGUGAUAUGCAUAUCAAGUACCUCACUUUCUUGAGAUUUUGAAGAUCGACGAGGUUGGUGAGCUGUUUGAAGAAGCAAGAGGGACUCUGAACAAGAACGUGGUUUGUGCGAUCAAAGAAUUACAUAUUUAUAACGCUUUAUAAAAGUUGCAGAGUUGGCUUGUUAAUACAUUCUUCUCUCUCAUCUUCUUCAGACAUCUCUUAAUUAGGAUGCUGUCGCGUCCAAGGGCUCAGACAGUACUUGUAGAUGGAGCUCUUAGGGAGGGCGAACUGCUGAUUCCACUUCCUUCACUUGAGAUCUUGGUGCUUCUCACAUUCUGUUCUCCAUCCACAGGAGUUAAGGUAAGUAGUAGUAUUUAUAAAACUAAACCAUGAAAUGAGCUUGUUUGAUUAUGAUCACAAGCAUGGUCGCUGUACAGUCUACAGAGAGGGUUGAAGCAGUAUAUCCCUUGCUGAAGGACGUGGCUCUUUCACCAGAUAUGUCUUUUUGUGUUGAUUAUCUUUUUGAGGGACUUUAGAAAAAUUAACCUGUAAGCCAUUAUAAAUCAGUUUAUAAACGUUUAUAAAUCAUUUUUGAGUUCUUUAUACUUAUUCUGCCUAGCAUUCCUCACAAGACUUCUCAAGUUCACACAUUUAUAUGUUUUUAUAGACAUAUCCGAUCAACUCUUGUUUAAAAACUUCUUUAUAAAGACUUAUAAAUCGUCAAGUUGUACUUUUAACAAUAUCUUGAAAUCCAGAUUUAUAAAGAAUUAUAAUUCUGUAAAAAUGCAGUGUUCACUAACCGAAAAUAUUAAUCUUAACCAUAAUUAUUCAAAUAACAAGUCCAACUAAGCCUUAUUUGCUUUUUGGAUAACAGAAGGAAGCAAAUCCUAAAAUUACUUGAAAUCUUAUUUAAAAUUUUUUUAUAAAGACUUAUAAAUCGUCGAGUAGUACUUUUGAUAAUUUCCUGAAAUCCAGAUUUAUAUUUUAUAAACGUCUAAAAAAUUGGAACAAAUUUAAGUUUUAGUAAAUAACUGCAUGAUUAGUGUUGUAGAGAGAAACUCAAACACAUUCUAAGACUGAAUUGAACAACAUUAAAGAGUUGACGAAGUCGGUUGUUUAGAACAUAUUCAUAUAAAUUGUUUUUAUAAAUAUUUUAUAAACUCUUAUAAAUUAUUUACAUACCUUUAUAAAUCCUAGAAAAUUAUUUUAUUAACUCUUAUAACUUGUUUAAUAAGCUUUUUCAAAUGGUUAUAGACUCUUAUAAUUGAUUUAAGAUCUCUAAUUGAUUUCAAAACCUGUAUAUACCUCUAUAAACCUUAUAAAUUAUAUACAUACCCCUUAUAAAUGAUUUAUAAACUUUUAUAAUUUUUGUAAUAAACAUUUAUAAAUAGUUUAUAUACUUUAUAAAUUGUUUUAUAAGCCUUUAUAGAUGGUUUAUAGACUCUUACAAAUAAUUUGUAAACCUUUAUAAAAGGUUUAUAAUAUUUAUAAAUUGUUUUUAAUAAAAUUUUAUAAAUGAUUUAUAAACUCUUAUUAAUUAUUUAUAUAUCCUUAUAAAGAUUAUUUUACAAGUCUUUAUAAAUUGUUAUAGCCUUUUAUAAAUAAUUUCAGAGACUUUCUAAGUGAUUCAAAAACCAAUAAACCUUAUAAAUUGUAUGCAUAUCCCUUAUAAAUUGUUUAUAAACUUUCAUAACAUUUUUAUAAACAAUUAUAAAUGGUUUAUAGAUUUUAUUAAUAGUUUUAUAAACCUUUAUAAAAAGAUUAUAAACUUUACAAAUUGUUUUAUAAACUUUUAUAAAUGAUUUAUAAACUCUUAUUUGCUCUUUAUCAUUCCUUUGCUCUUCAUUUUUAUCUUCUUUCAUGUGUUAUUGCCUUAUAUCAUACGUUACAAAAUGUAAAUUCACAAAUCCUUGUUCCCAUUAGCUUUUCUUCAUUUUAUAUCCUUGUUGAACUGUUAAGAUCCAUGUUAUCAAGAUCAGGAGGUGUUGGGUUCAUGAAAUGUUUGUAUUCCUCAGGGAAUCCAAACACUGUAUUAACCACAAGAUGUAACAAAGAAUAAACAACGUUUUAUAAGUCUCUACUUAUAAUUUUAUAAACUCCUAUAAAACUACAUUUAUAAUCUUUUAUAAACACUUCACAUUAUUGACAAAGACACCGAUUGGAUAAUCACUUUUAAAUUGUCUACUGGUUCUGUUCCAGCUUCAUAAAUCCUCAGAGGCAAUCUCAAAGAUGUGCAAUUCAUUGCUAUCUAACUGUAAGACAAAAUAAAAAGAUGAUGUUAACUUUUAAUCACGGUCUAAAAAUACCUUAUCCAAUCAUAAUGUUCAUGUAUUUCGAUAACAGCCUUACAAAGAAUAUAUAAUAAUAAAAUACGA